UACGAGAGGCCCAAACGUUAUUCGGAUUUACUGGGCUUAAAGGGUGCGUAGGUGGCUCCGUAAGUCAGGUGUGAAAUUUCGGAGCUUAACUCCGAAACUGCAUUUGAUACUGCGGUGCUUGAGGACCGGAGAGGAGACUGGAAUUUACGGUGUAGCAGUGAAAUGCGUAGAUCGUAAGGAAGACCAGUGGCGAAGGCGGGUCUCUGGACAGUUCCUGACACUGAGGCACGAAGGCCAGGGGAGCAAACGGG
rnacentral:rRNA from 1 species